AACGCGAAGAACCUUACCUAAACUUGACAUCCUUUUGACCGGUACUUAAUCGUACCUUUACUAGCUUGCUAGUACAGAAGUGACAGGUGGUGCAUGGUUGUCGUCAGCUCGUGUCGUGAGAUGUUGGGUUAAGUCCCGCAACGAGCGCAACCCCUAUUUUUAGUAGCCAUCAUUUAGUUGGGCACUCUAGAGAGACUGCCAGGGAUAACCUGGAGGAAGGUGGGGAUGACGUCAAAUCAUCAUGCCCCUUAUGUUUAGGGCUACACACGUGCUACAAUGGGUGCUACAAAGAGAAGCGAAUCCGCGAGGCCAAGCAAAUCUCAAAAAAGCACUCCCAGUUCGGAUUGUAGUCUGCAACUCGACUACAUGAAGUUGGAAUCGCUAGUAAUCGCGAAUCAGAAUGUCGCGGUGAAUACGUUCCCGGGCCUUGUACACACCGCGAGC
rnacentral:rRNA from 1 species